rnacentral:rRNA from 1 species
CGGGUGCGUAACGCGUAUGCAACCUACCUUGUACUGGGGAAUAGCCCGUGGAAACAUGGAUUAAUACCCCAUAAUUUUAUCUAAUCACCUGGUUGGAUAAUUAAAGUUUCGACGGUACUAGAUGGGCAUGCGUAUGAUUAGCUAGAUGGUGAGGUAACGGCUCACCAUGGCAACGAUCAUUAGCGGGUCUGAGAGGAUGAUCCGCCACACUGGUACUGAGACACGGACCAG